GACGAACGCUGGCGGCGUGCCUAAUACAUGCAAGUAGAACGCACAGUUUAUACCGUAGCUUGCUACACCAUAGACUGUGAGUUGCGAACGGGUGAGUAACGCGUAGGUAACCUGCCUGGUAGCGGGGGAUAACUAUUGGAAACGAUAGCUAAUACCGCAUAAUAUUAAUUAUUGCAUGAUAAUUAAUUGAAAGGUGCAAUUGCACCACUACCAGAUGGACCUGCGUUGUAUUAGCUAGUAGGUGAGGUAACGGCUCACCUAGGCGACGAUACAUAGCCGACCUGAGAGGGUGAUCGGCCACACUGGGACUGAGACACGGCCCAGACUCCUACGGGAGGCAGCAGUAGGGAAUCUUCGGCAAUGGACGAAAGUCUGACCGAGCAACGCCGCGUGAGUGAAGAAGGUUUUCGGAUCGUAAAGCUCUGUUGUAAGAGAAGAUCGGGUGUGAGAGUGGAAAGUUCACACUGUGACGGUAUCUUACCAGAAAGGGACGGCUAACUACGUG
rnacentral:rRNA from 1 species